rnacentral:rRNA from 1 species
GGAGGUUGGCUUAGAAGCAGCCAUCCUUUAAAGAAAGCGUAAUAGCUCACUGGUCGAGUCGGUCUGCGCGGAAGAUGUAACGGGGCUAAACUAUGCACCGAAGCUGCGGAUUCAGAAUUUAUUCUGAGUGGUAGGGGAGCGUUCUGUAAGCGGUUGAAGGUGUACCGGGAGGUAUGCUGGACGUAUCAGAAGUGCGAAUGCUGACAUGAGUAACGAUAAUGCGGGUGAAAAACCCGCACGCCGGAAGACCAAGGGUUCCUAUCCCAUGUUAAUCAGGGUAGGGUAAGUCGACCCCUAAGGCGAGGCCGAAAGGCGUAGUCGAUGGGAAACGGAUUAAUAUUUCCGUACUUGGUAUAAUUGCGAUGGGGGGACGGAGAAGGCUAAGCAAGCAUGGCGAUGGUUGUCCAUGUGAAAGUGAGUAGGGCGUUUGUUUAGGUAAAUCCGGACGAACACUAAACCUGAGACACGAGACGAGCUACUACGGUAGUGAAGUUGCUGAUGCCAUACUUCCAGGAAAAGCCUCUAAGCUUCAGAUUAUACCGAAUCGUACCCCAAACCGACACAGGUGGUCAGGUAGAGAAUACUAAGGCGCUUGAGAGAACUCGGGUGAAGGAACUAGGCAAAAUCGUACCGUAACUUCGGGAGAAGGUACGCUCCUAUCUGUGAUGAGACUUGCUCUCUAAGCGGACGGGAGCCGCAGUGACCAGGUGGCUGGGACUGUUUAUUAAAAACACAGCACUGUGCAAAAUCGCAAGAUGACGUAUACGGUGUGACACCUGCCCGGUGCCGGAAGGUUAAUUGAUGGGGUUAUCUUCGGAGAAGCUCUUGAUCGAAGCCCCGGUAAACGGCGGCCGUAACUAUAACGGUCCUAAGGUAGCGAAAUUCCUUGUCGGGUAAGUUCCGACCUGCACGAAUGGUGUAACCAUGGCCACGCUGUCUCCACCCGAGACUCAGUGAAAUUGAAAUCGCAGUGAAGAUGCUGUGUACCCGCGGCUAGACGGAAAGACCCCGUGAACCUUUACUACAGCUUGGCACUGAACAUUGAACCUACAUGUGUAGGAUAGGUGGGAGACUUUGAAGCAGCGACGCUAGUUGUUGUGGAGUCGUCCUUGAAAUACCACCCUUGUAGUUUUGAUGUUCUAACGUUGGCCCCUGAAUCGGGGUUACGGACAGUGCCUGGUGGGUAGUUUGACUGGGGCGGUCUCCUCC